GGCGUCUGGGGCAGUUGUUGCUGGCCUGGGGCGCCGGCUGGUGGGCGCUGGCAGUGAGCAGCGAAGUGCUACGUUUCGUGGCGCCG
rnacentral:tRNA from 1 species